GUUCGAGUCCAUAUAGCCCU
rnacentral:tRNA from 1 species